rnacentral:misc_RNA from 1 species
ACCCUUGUGGAGGAGGACGCCGAAGGUGGGGCUAAUGACUGGGGUGAAGUCGUAACAAGGUAGCCGUACCGGAAGGUGCGGCUGGAUCACCUCCUAACAGGGAGACAACAAAAUGUUUAAUAUUAUUUUGUCACCUUAGGUCGAUCGGUAUCUCACGUUCUUAAUUUAUUAAGAAUUUCAUUUCCUAAGUUUUUCUAGGUCACACCCAUUAUUUUUCCUGGGCCAUUAGCUCAGGUGGUUAGAGCGCACCCCUGAUAAGGGUGAGGUCCCUGGUUCAAGUCCAGGAUGGCCCAUAUCUCUAUGUUGGGGGUAUAGCUCAGUUGGUAGAGCGCCUGCUUUGCAAGCAGGAUGUCAGCGGUUCGAGUCCGCUUACCUCCACUGAUUACCACCUCUUCCAUAAACCGGUAAUAAAGGAAAUGUUUUGAGUUGUGAUCAAAUUCUGAAAGAAUCUAGCUUCCUAAUGAAAUCAUUAAGAUGCUGGACUCAUUGAAUUAAUUUCAUUGUUUUCAGAGAACCUUGACAACUGCAUAGAUUAUUUUUAAAGACAAUAAGCAUCUUUAAUGAUGCAGAUUUAUUAUUUGUGCGAAUGCAUUAAUAACAAUUCUAUUAAGCUGAUGCUUCAAUUUUUGAAGUUAUUGGUCAAGCUACAAAGGGCUCACGGAGGAUACCUAGGCACACAGAGGCGAU